GUGAGGAGGGAGGCAACGGUGAAGAAGGAGGGUGAGGAGGGAGGCGACGGUCUGAUCCGCCUCUUUUUUUUCGGCGAGAAAAAAAAAAAAACGACAGAAACGAAGAGGAGAGAGAAAGAGGAAAGAGAAAAAGUAAUAAGGGUAUUUUGGUCAGUUUGCUGAAAAAGCGGACCGAAUCUGCAAAAACGAAAAAGGUGGCUCGGUUUUGCAAAAGUCCAAAAUAAGUGGAUUUUUUAUG
rnacentral:lncRNA from 1 species